rnacentral:tRNA from 1 species
UCUCUCGUAGCUUAGUGGUCAAAGAAUUAGCGCGUAAAGCCAAAGAGCCCGGGUUCGAUUCCCGGUGGGGGUG